AUGUUAGGAACCUAAUUGUCGUAAGUUAACAAUGGACAUGCCCAUUAAAGAGAGAGAAUUGGCUCAGCCUCCAUUUAUGCAGUAACAAAAUUUGGGAGUCUACAAUACUAUAAGCAAUUAUCAGAAAUUGCUCCAGAGACAAUCCAAAGUAGCAGUAAGCAUGGAGAAUGGCCAGAUAGCUGAGGUUGG